rnacentral:rRNA from 1 species
ACCUACCUUACACUGGGGGAUAGCCCAGAGAAAUCUGGAUUAAUACCGCAUAAUAUGAUUUUUUCGCAUGGAAAAAUUAUUAAAACUCCGGUGGUGUAAGAUGGGCAUGCGUAGUUAGCUUGUUGGUGAGGUAACGGCUCACCAAGGCGAUGAUGCUUAGGGGGUCUGAGAGGAUAGUCCCCCACACUGGUACUGAGACACGGACCAGACUCCUACGGGAGGCAGCAGUGAGGAAUAUUGGUCAAUGGGCGCAAGUGAACCAGCCAUGUCGCGUGUAGGAUGACUGCCCUAUGGUUGUAAACUACUUUUUUACAGGAAUAAACCUUUCCACGUGUGGGAAGCUGAAGGUACUGUAGGAAUAAGGAUCGGCUAACUCCGUGCCAGCAGCCGCGGUAAUACGGAGGAUUCGAGCGUUAUCCGGAUUUAUUGGGUUUAAAGGGUCCGUAGCGGGCUGAUAAGUCAGUGGUGAAAUCUCACAGCUCAACUGUGAAACUGCCAUUGAUACUGUUGGUCUUGAAUUUAGUUGAGGUAGGCGGAAUACGAUAUGUAGCGGUGAAAUGCAUAGAUAUAUCGUAGAACACCGAUUGCGAAGCAGCUUACUAAGCUAAUAUUGACGCUGAUGGACGAAAGCGUGGGGAGCGAACAGGAUUAGAUACCCUGGUAGUCCACGCCGUAAACGAUGAUUACUCGUUGUGCGCGAUACAUUGUGCGCGACUGAGCGAAAGAUUAAGUAAUCCACCUGGGGAGUACGUUGGCAAC